GACGAACACUGGCGGCGUGCUUAACACAUGCAAGUCGAACGGAAAGGCCCUGCUUUUGUGGGGUGCUCGAGUGGCGAACGGGUGAGUAACACGUGAGUAACCUGCCCUUGACUUUGGGAUAACUUCAAGAAACUGGGGCUAAUACCGGAUAGGAGCUCCUGCUGCAUGGUGGGGGUUGGAAAGUUUCGGCGGUUGGGGAUGGACUCGCGGCUUAUCAGCUUGUUGGUGGGGUAGCGGCUUACCAAGGCUUUGACGGGUAGCCGGCCUGAGAGGGUGACCGGCCACAUUGGGACUGAGAUACGGCCCAGACUCCUACGGGAGGCAGCAGUGGGGAAUAUUGCACAAUGGGCGGAAGCCUGAUGCAGCAACGCCGCGUGCGGGAUGACGGCCUUCGGGUUGUAAACCGCUUUCGCCUGUGACGAAGCGUGAGUGACGGUAAUGGGUAAAGAAGCACCGGCUAACUACGUG
rnacentral:rRNA from 1 species